rnacentral:misc_RNA from 1 species
CCCUCCCCUAAAUCACUCCAAAAAAAACAAUCCCCAAUUCUACACAAGUGUUUCUACACUAACAAAGCAACAGCUCCUUAACGAAUUCCCAACUUUACACGAGCUCGUCUCUCGAGGUUAAAUGUUAUUACUUGGUAAGAUUCCGGACCUCGCCAAGUGUUUUGAAAACCCGCAACGCUCGCAAAGGUGGAUAGUGAGAAUAAUAAGUGAAGAGACAGACUUGUCCAAAACGCCCACCACGAAGGUGCAUAGUGAGAAGAGUAAGUCAAGAGAUAGACUUGUCCAAAAAGAAACGGAAGAGAAAGCUUGGGGAGACGCUCACGAAGGUGCAUAGUGAGAAGAGUAAGUCAAGAGAUAGACUUGUUCAAAAAGAAACAGAAGAGAAUGCUUGGGGUUACACUCACGAAGGUGCAUAGUGAGAAGAGUAAGUCAAGAGACAGACUUGUUCAAAAAGAAACGAAAGAGAAUGCUUGGGGAGAUAGAAGUGUGAGAUAGUUCUCAAGCUAAGAAAGUUGUAAAAGCUAAGAACUAGCAAGUAAUCGUCCAGGAUUCCUCCACCAGGACUUGAAAUCGUCGAGGGAAAAAAAUCGGUUCCGAGGAAUCGUCGAUCCGGACUUGGAAUCGUCGAGAAAAGUUUACCGGGUCCGAGGAUUUGUCGACCAGGAGUGGAAAUCGUCGAGAAAAAUCUAUCGGGUCCGAGGAAUCGUCGACCAGGACGAGGAAUCGUCGACCGGGUCCGAGGAUUUGUCGACCAGGGGUUGAAAUCGUCGACCAGGUCCGAGACUUCAUCGACCGGGUCCGAGGAUUCGUCGAC